UUGUUCGAGUCGCUGCGGCGGAGAUGAUGAGGCCUAAAUAAUGCCCAGAGCUGCCGCAGCGGCAUGUGAAUUUUUUUUUCAGGGGAGUUUAGGAGGAGCAGACAGACCAGCGCUGCGAGGCGUGCUGGAGGAAUCAGAAGUGCGACUGCUGACAUAAGUAACGAUAAUGCGGGUGAAAAACCCGCACCCGGGAAGACCAAGGGUUCCUGUCCAACGUUAAUCGGGGCAGGGUGAGUCGACCCCUAAGGCGAGGCAGAAAUGCGUAGUCGAUGGGAAACAGGUUAAUAUUCCUGUACUGGUGAUAAUUGCGAUGGGGGGACGGAGAAGGCUAGGCUGGCCGGGCGACGGUUGUCCCGGUUUAAGGAUGUAGGUGGGCGAAUUAGGCAAAUCCGGUUCGCUAUACACUGAGGUCUGAUGACGAGUCACUACGGUGGCGAAGUAGCUCAUGCCCCGCUUCCAGGAAAAGCCUCUAAGCUCUAGAUUAUCAUUAAUCGUACCCCAAACCGACACAGGUGGUCAGGUAGAGAAUACUCAGGCGCUUGAGAGAACUCGGGUGAAGGAACUAGGCAAAAUGGUGCCGUAACUUCGGGAGAAGGCACGCUGGCAUUAGGUGAAGUGGUUUACCCAUGGAGCUGAAGCCAGUCGCAGAUACCAGCUGGCUGCAACUGUUUAUUAAAAACACAGCACUGUGCAAACACGAAAGUGGACGUAUACGGUGUGACGCCUGCCCGGUGCUGGAAGGUUAAUUGAUGGGGUUAUCCGUAAGGAGAAGCUCUUGAUCGAAGCCCCAGUAAACGGCGGCCGUAACUAUAACGGUCCUAAGGUAGCGAAAUUCCUUGUCGGGUAAGUUCCGACCUGCACGAAUGGCGUAAUGAUGGCCAGGCUGUCUCCACCCGAGACUCAGUGAAAUUGAACUCGCUGUGAAGAUGCAGUGUACCCGCGGCAAGACGGAAAGACCCCGUGAACCUUUACUAUAGCUUGACACUGAACAUUGAGCCUUGAUGUGUAGGAUAGGUGGGAGGCUUUGAAGUGUGGACGCCAGUCUGCAUGGAGCCAACCUUGAAAUACCACCCUUUAAUGUUUGAUGUUCUAACGUAGCCCCAUAAUCUGGGGUGCGGACAGUGUCUGGUGGGUAGUUUGACUGGGGCGGUCUCCUCCCAAAGCGUAACGGAGGAGCACGAAGGUUGGCUAAGCAUGGUCGGACAUCAUGCGGUUAGUGCAAAGGCAUAAGCCAGCUUGACUGCGAGAGUGACGGCUCGAGCAGGUACGAAAGUAGGUCUUAGUGAUCCGGUGGUUCUGAAUGGAAGGGCCAUCGCUCAACGGAUAAAAGGUACUCCGGGGAUAACAGGCUGAUACCGCCCAAGAGUUCAUAUCGACGGCGGUGUUUGGCACCUCGAUGUCGGCUCAUCACAUCCUGGGGCUGAAGUAGGUCCCAAGGGUAUGGCUGUUCGCCAUUUAAAGUGGUACGCGAGCUGGGUUUAGAACGUCGUGAGACAGUUCGGUCCCUAUCUGCCGUGGGCGUUGGAAGAUUGAAAGGGGCUGCUCCUAGUACGAGAGGACCGGAGUGGACGCACCGCUGGUGUUCGGGUUGUCAUGCCAAUGGCACUGCCCGGUAGCUAAGUGCGGAAGAGAUAACCGCUGAAAGCAUCUAAGCGGGAAACUUGCCUUGAGAUGAGUCUUCCCUGACUCUUUAAGGGUCCUAAAGGAACGUUUAAGACGAAGACGUUGAUAGGCUGGGUGUGUAAGCGUAGCGAUACGUUGAGCUAACCAGUACUAAUGAACCGUGAGGCUUAACCUG
rnacentral:rRNA from 1 species